rnacentral:lncRNA from 1 species
AUAUUGCAACAUGAAUUACCAGCUGAGAACCGUCUCCGGGAGGUUGACCGUCGAAGCGGUCGCUCCCAAGGGAAAAUCCAUCUUGCGAGUUGGCCGGCAGCUCUUCGUCACUCUUAGUGUGCUGUUCCCAGUGUGACCCUUUGUCCAGGUCAAGGGCUGUACGCACGGGAUGGUCGACAUGCAACGCAUGGACGGUCACGCUCGCCUCGGUGUCAAGCGGUCUGCAGGUGCGUGAAGUAACGCGAGCAGAUAACGUUAAGUCUUGUAGAAAGGUCUAUCUACUACCUUCGUACGAAGGUCUUAGCUUGUCUGCUUGUUUGGCUCUGAUAGGAUCUGAGUCUUCUCUGUCAACUUCCCUCAACGCAGGUCAAACUUCGCUAUGAGCGUCGCCAAGAUCCUCGCUGCAUCUUUCAUAUCAUUCAACGAGCAGUACUCAUUGUCUGCGUGGUAGGUGGACAUGAGUCCGAAACCGAUGAGUUGAAUAUCGAAACCCUCAGACUGCAUAUCAUGCACCAGGGGAAGUGAGCCGGUAAGAGAGUACGGCUCAGCCAUCCCCUUCACGUCUUUUAUCGAGUCACACAUCAACUUGAAAGCGGGAGACGUGAGAUCGCAUGCGAUCCCAGUCAAUAAAUGAUCACCCCAUUCUAAUUUUAGAUGCCCCACGAUGGGCUCACCGUCCUCAGGCCUGAUGACGUACUUGGAGCACGGUCCACGUACGGGAAGAGAUUCGAUAUCAGCGUUGAUGGCUGCAACCUCCGCCUCGAUGCACGCCUUUAGUGCUGCGACGUCAUAGAAGGGAGUUAAGCGUAUGUCUCCGCUAAUCGUCGCCUCAGGAGGAAUCUGAUUUAAUCCUCCAGGGGCGCACUUUACUUGAGUCGGCUUCAUAGUUGAGGGCGUAAUGAACUUGUAUUCCCGCUCCUUCUCGCAAGCUGGGAAGGAUUCGUAGA